rnacentral:tRNA from 1 species
UGGCAGAGUUGGUAGAGCAUGGUGUUUGCAACGCCAGGGUUGUGGGUUCGAUUCCCAC